CUUUAUAUUUUUUUGUUUAAACUAUAAAAAUUCAGUUAAAUAUUUUUAUUCGAAAAAUUUUUGGCUGGGGCGGCAUGUUUAAAAAUUCUGUUAACUUUUCUUAUUUUAACCACAUAUAUGUGAAAUAAUAGAUCCUUAAUAAUGAUUUAAAGGUAAGUU
rnacentral:rRNA from 1 species